rnacentral:SRP_RNA from 1 species
GCAGCCGGGGUGUUAGCGGUACCUUGUACCUGCAAUCCGCUAUAGCAGGGGUGAUGCUGCGCAGAGGGCAUGUUUUGCAGAGCUGCCCUUGACAAGCGGCACUGAAGUCUGGGUCUUACGCGACGGAAAUCUGUGAACCGUGUCAGGUCGGGAACGAAGCAGCACUAAGCGGAACCUUCCGGGUGCCGUAAGGGCGCCUGGACCGAGCUGGCUGUCAAGGUAACGUCUGUGAGCCUUGUUCG